GCGAGGUGCAGAGCCAUCACUAUACAACAAAGCAGCAGAGACAUUCUGCCAACCGAUCUACAGAGGAAACAAUGAUAUUACAUUACAUAACAACUUAACUUUACAUUUAAUAACCUCUAAUAGUGUUAAAGGGAUCCUGGAUACCAUUUUAAUGACUCCGUGUGCAUUAGGAAGGAAGGUAGUGGUUGUUUCAUGAGCAAAUGCUAUUUAGCAUUAGCACAAUGACUGGAAGUCUACAGGUACGGUAGCAUUGCUAAUGCACCUGUAGUCUUCCAGUCAUUGAACUAGAAUCGUACAUUAUGCAUUUAACAUAACUUAUUUUAAAAUGGCAUCGCAUAACAUGACAAAACGUAACACAAAUUAACUUUUAAGUGACAUAAGUUAACAUGAGCAGCUCCAUCUGUAACGUAGCACAUUACCUGGACAUGAAUCAGAGAAUGUUGAGAGUAACACAGUGACAGUAGUAGUAGUAGCUUGGUCUUGGUAGAGUAGCUCAGAAUCAGAGAAUGUUGAGAGUACCUGAGCUGGCUAGUAACACAGUGACAGUAGUAGUAGUAGCUUGGUCUUGGUAGAGUAGCUCAGAAUCAGAGAAUGUUGAGAGUAACACAGUGACAGUAGUAGUAGUAGCUUGGUCUUGGUAGAGUAGCUCAGAAUCAGAGAAUGUUGAGAGUAACACAGUGACAGUAGUAGUAGUAGCUUGGUCUUGGUAGAGUAGCUCAGAAUCAGAGAAUAAUCAGAGUAACACAGUGACAGUAGUAGUAGUAGCUUGGUCUUGGUAG
ensembl:lncRNA